CGGAAUCUACUUUUUCGUGGGGGAUAACGUAGGGAAACUUACGCUAAUACCGCAUACGACCUACGGGUGAAAGCAGGGGAUCUUCGGACCUUGCGCGAUUGAAUGAGCCGAUGUCGGAUUAGCUAGUUGGCGGGGUAAAGGCCCACCAAGGCGACGAUCCGUAGCUGGUCUGAGAGGAUGAUCAGCCACACUGGAACUGAGACACGGUCCAGACUCCUACGGGAGGCAGCAGUGGGGAAUAUUGGACAAUGGGCGCAAGCCUGAUCCAGCCAUACCGCGUGGGUGAAGAAGGCCUUCGGGUUGUAAAGCCCUUUUGUUGGGAAAGAAAUCCAGCCGGCUAAUACCUGGUUGGGAUGACGGUACCCAAAGAAUAAGCACCGGCUAACUUCGUGCCAGCAGCCGCGGUAAUACGAAGGGUGCAAGCGUUACUCGGAAUUACUGGGCGUAAAGCGUGCGUAGGUGGUUGUUUAAGUCUGUUGUGAAAGCCCUGGGCUCAACCUGGGAACUGCAGUGGAAACUGGACGACUAGAGUGUGGUAGAGGGUAGCGGAAUUCCUGGU
rnacentral:rRNA from 1 species